GCGAUUAGUAGAGUACUACACUAAGGGAAAGCUUAUGGUGUAUCUGUGUGGUAUGUGAAUGUUCUCUGCUAAGAGUGAGUGAAUAUUUUCUAUCUAUAGUUCCUUGUGCUUGAUUUUAUGUGUGUGGAACUUCUCUAAAAAAUGUGAUGUGAGGUCAUGUGACUCGGGAAGAAAAAGCAAGUUUUCACCUCUGUUUAGAGUAACUAGAGUAAGCAUGAGUGUGUCAUGGUAUUAGAGUCUUCAUCUGAGGUGUGGUUGUUGCACUGCUUAGGUUGUUCUUUCAUAAUGGCGGAUGUGACAUAAAAGUGGGUAAUGCAUCGAACGAUUAGGCCUAGAAGUGUGGUUCAACUUUCUCGAGAAAAAGCAAAGAUUUAAGUUUGGGGUGUUGAUACUAGGUGAAUUGAACUAUAGUUAGGCCCUAAAGAAUCACUUUCUUGUAUAAUUUUUAUGGUAAAAGUGAUAACAAAAUGCUCUGAUUAAGCUUUUCAUGCUUUGCAGGUUACAUAAAAGAAGGCUAUGGAGUAACUUUUGGAUCAAUUAUGGAGAAAAGGAGGCCAAUCACACAAUAUCCGCCAAGUGAACCAUGAGAAAUGCACAAACCAGAACUGGAGAUGGACUGCCACGAUCCCCGCGUAACCGCGGUCACACCGCAACAGGAAGCUGUUGCGGAUUCUGAGAAGUGAUUUGGUCGCGGUCCUGGU
rnacentral:lncRNA from 1 species